rnacentral:rRNA from 1 species
UACAGAGGCCUCGAGCGUUAGGCGGAAUCACUGGGCUUAAAGCGUGUGUAGGCGGACUUCUAAGUACCUUGUGAAAUCCCACGGCUCACCCGUGCAACUGCUCGGUAUACUGGUCGUCUUGAGCCUUCUAGGGGCGAGUGGAACAAAUGGUGGAGCGGUGAAAUGCGUAGAUAUCAUUUGGAACGCCAAUGGUGAAAACAACUCGCUGGGGGAAGUGCUGACGCUGAGACACGAAAGCCAGGGGAGCGAACGGG